rnacentral:lncRNA from 1 species
AUUUCCACAGGAUGUGGGGUCCUAACAUCCUGUCAAAAACUCUGAAAACCAUGGCGAAGCGAGGACCAUCGCAGUGACUCUGAGCCUUCUCAGCCUACCCCCCUCAAGCACUAUCAUUUAUGGACUGUGAAGGAAGAGAGAUUUAUGGCGGUGGUGGAAGGCAGAGGAAUUACUUGUACUCCAGGGUAGCCCCAUGGCAAAUGGAACGCUAUCCGUGGGGAAAACGACACAAUGUCCUUGCUUGAAGAUGCCUGUGGAUUGGUCAGUGCAGUUGACUACAGCAGCUGUGCUCUAGGCUGUAGAUGUUCAAAUUUGUUCUGGGGGAUUUUCAUGCUGUGGCCUGGGUGAGUGAGCAGUGGCUACCUCAGGCCAGGAUUUCGCAAGAAGCAGGUCAGGAGCCCAAGCACCCAGGGAAAAACUAGGUAAGCACAUUUCAAGACUGGGCUCAGGAUGUAAGAAUAUAGGAUGUAAGACUGU